rnacentral:rRNA from 1 species
GACGAACGCUGGCGGCGUGCUUAACACAUGCAAGUCGAACGGAAAGGCCCUGCUUUUGUGUGGUGCUCGAGUGGCGAACGCGUGAGUAACACGUGAGUAACCUGCCCUUUACUUUGUGAUAACUUUAGGAAACUGGGGCUAAUACCCGAUAUGAGCUCCUGCUGCAUGGUGGGGGUUGGAAAGAUUCGGCGGUUUGGGAUGGACUCGAGGAUUAUGAGCUUCUUUGGGGGGUAGUGACUUACCAAGGGUUUGACGGGUAGCCGGCCUGAGAGCGUUACCGGCCACAUUGGGACUGAGGUAGGGACCAGACUCCUACCGGAGGCAGCAGUGGGGAAUAUUGCACAAUGGGCGGAAGCAAGAUGCAGAAAUGUCGCGUGCGGGAUGACGGGCUACGGGUUGUAAACAGAUUUAGAAUGUGACGAAGAGAGAGUGACGGUAAUGGGUAAGGAAGCACCGGCUAACUACGUG